UCAGCACAGAGCCUGACACAGGGCUCAAACUCACAAAUUGUGAGAUCAUGACCUGAGCCGAAGUCGGACGCUUAACCGACUGAGCCACCCAGGCACCCUGAGAGUUACUAUUUUUAAAGUAAAUCUCAUGAGGCAUUAAAAACAUGAUUUGGGAAUACCGCAAUAAAGAUUUAUUCUUAUUUGAUGGCCGUCACUAAAAAUUGUCUUGGAAAAGUUUUGUUAAUCCUAAAAUGCCUUCUGCUGUUGAAGAACCUACAUGGUGUGAGUGGCUUUUUAAAAAUAAAUUGCCUGUUAUUCUAAGACUAGAAUCAGGUGUUCCAGAAUAACUAUAGGUAUAAUAUGCAGGAGUUUUUUGUUUGUUUUGGUUCUUAAGUGAGAUUGGGUUAACACCUAUAACCAGAAAGGUUUGGUUUUAAGGAGUUAACGACCUACUGAAUUUGGAGGAUGCAAAAUGAAAAACUUUGUAUAGACCACCUGCCUAACUGGUGAAGUAUUAAUUCUAGAGUUCUAGAAACAGGUUCUCAUAGUUACCAUUUAAAAAUUCUGUAUCUUGUUGUAAGUUUGUAAAUCACCUUUAUUCUACUACCCUCGUAAAAACUGGCACAAAUCUUACCCAUAUCAUACCUAAGGAUUUUACCUGAAUCUGAUACAGGACCUGUACAACCUUACUGGAUCUUUUGAUUGUUGACUCCAGGCUUUUCAAGCAUAUUGAGGGCUGUUUUUGCUAUAUGGCCUGUGGAUUUCUGAGAACUGCUAUGUGAUCAUUCACAAUACAUGUAACACUCAGGACAUAAGGACAGCCCAGCUUGUAAACAGCAAAACAGGCAAUGCCUAGUUUCUGUUGUCCAGAAGCAUUAUGUAAUUGAAGUAACCACGAUCUUUCUAAUUGUGCGGCAUUGACCAAGUCAGCACCAAUCCCAGUGACUGGUUUGGGCACUGCAUGGUAGAGCUUUACUGCCACCUAGUGGGAUGAGAUCUACUUGUCUCAUUAUCAAGUUCACAAUGGGGGAAAUUGAUAAUUGAUUGGACAUGUGGCUUAUUUCUAUGUAGCUCAGGUUAUACUCUUGAAAGCUGAAGAGAUACAGGCUCCUGCCUCUCAGACUCAUUAGUUUGGUGUCACUGAACCACCUGCACAUUCUGAGUCUUCCCACCUUUUGUGCCUUUUAUCCUCUUGGGAGAAACUGACCAAGGAAUGUGGAGGUCAAUGUACAGUAGGUGAGAAAAGAGGAAAGAGUGUAAGAUGGCUUAAUGAAGCAAAAGCAGAAUGUUGACUUAGCAAGUCAUCUAAGAUCACUGUCUCCAAACUUUAUCCUGUUUCCUUAUUGAAAUAUUCUUGAGCAUGUAUCCAUAAUUACAACUGUGUGCAUGUGCUGCUGUGUUACUGUGAAAUUAUGAAACAAAAUUUUAAAUUGGGGAGGGGGGAGUUUAGCACCCUUCUCAAGCCCCCGUGAACUCUCUACUCAUUCCACUUUGGAAGCCAUUGAUCUAGGUAGUAUAUAGAUCGUUAAUAAUUUUUGUUGACUCCCCGAGGGUGUCCUAGUGAAGACUGCUGUGCUAUCCUAUUUGAUGUGAAAGGAAAAAUUACUGUCUGCCACUCCAGUAAAUUGAAGUCCUUUCUAAUAAAAAGCUUGCAAAUGUAAACAAAAGUCCGUGUAUUUCAUUCAGAAUAUUUUCCUUACCCUUUGUAAUAACAGCUAUCCACGUAUUGAACACUUAUUACCACAUUUCAGACGAUAAGUUAGUUUUUGUGUAUUAUCUUCAUCUAACCCUUAAUAGAUACCAGUAUUGCCCUUUUACAGAUGUGGAAACAGGUUUGGAGAUGUUUAGUGACUAACUUAGAGACAAGUGGUAAGUGGCAGAGCUGGAGUUUGAUGCAGUCUUGGUGAUGAGGUCAGGGCCUCCGUUGCUUUAGUCUUCUGCCGUGCGACCACCUGGUCUGUGCUAGAAAACUGAACACGCUAAUCCUGUGUGUUCAGAUCCCAUCUCUGAAUUGGGCAUGUUACUUCUCCUUUCUCAACAUUUGUUUCUGCAGCUGUAAGUUAGGGCCCAUAUCUCUCUUGCUGAUUCAGAGUGAAGAUUACAUUCUGUGACUGCACAUGUGAGGUGUCUGGACCUUGAGAGAUUAUCCUUGGGUGUUGCUGGAAGUGGUGAUGCUGGGGCCAUGACAGACAAAAGAGUAUUGUUUUUCCCCAGUUUUAGGCGAUGGUACAUUUUCAGUAAGUUUGCGUGGUGCUUGAUAGGUCUCUAGACUUGCUUCUUUGUAGACACAGCCUUUUGGAGUUACCAAGUAACUUUAUUGUUUCAACAAUAAAGCAUGCCAUGGAAAUAAGGUAAUUUUGGUGAAGAACGGGUUUUUUACAGUGCCAGUAAUGGGAGUUCUAAAAUAAUGUCAUUCUUUGCAAAUAGUGCUGGGAUGGUUUAUCAGAGUAUCUCAUCUCUGACAUUGCUGAAAAAAUUGCUUCUUUUCAAGCAAAUUGGUUCCCAUGAUUUGGGAUUAAUCCAUAGAAUGUUCAAAGUUUAGUGUCAGCCGUUUUCAACAGAAAAUAUGGGUUGACAAUUUCCUGUGUUCUUUAGAAGCCUUUCAAAGCUUCACAGGAAGAAUGAAGACUAUUCUUGGCCCGAACAUUUGCCCCAUGGGGUGCUGGGCCCAGCCAAACAGCCUUGUAUUAGCAAAGGAGGGUCAAGUGAAAGGAGACCUUGUUCUGUGCCAAGCUCUCCAAGGGUAGCCUGAAACCCCAUUGGCCACACAGAACCACUGUUUAAGGUGCAGUAUUUGUGGACCUGCCGAAAUCUAAAGCCAUUCAGGCUUUCUGAAAUCCUUUGGAAUGGGGAGAGGCAGCGGGUGACACUUCAGAUCUGUGAAGACCUGGCGUAAAGAUGGAGAGUUGAUGCGGGGGAUGGCAAGACACUGCCAACGAAUGUCUAUUUUUUUGUUCUCUCUUCCAAGUGGGCCCUGCUUAGCUUCCUAGCUUUCAGGUGUGUUGCAAGGUGCAGCGGUUCACCCUGGAGAUUUACAAGGUAACAGACCCCAGAACCCCCAUGGGUAUGGGGCUGGUUCUCACCAAAAUGUGGAGGAACUAACUUGGUCUAGCAGGGGCUUGCAACUUUUCUUUCCUCACUUAAUUCCAUUGUCUUUGAAUUUCACUGGUCUCUUUCAUAUUUAAAUAUAUGCUCCACUAGACUUGCAGGCACAGAAAAGUUCCCUGUAUUUUGGAUAAGCCAGUAAUUUAAGCCACUUGGCAAGUGGUGGGUGACGUGAUGGGGGCCCUGGCACAGCCGUUGGUGUUAGUGUGAGCUCUUCCCCCCUGCUUUUCAGAAGUCAAGGAAUGUAUGUUUUGUCUGGUGGGAGUGGAGAAAGUUGUCGAUUUUAUUCCUAGGGAUAAGUCUCAUAUGAUUAUAUAAAUGCAUGGCUUAGUGUGGUUACUUUAAAAAAAAAAAAAGUUGUAGUUAACAUUUCAGGAACAUAGUUCUUUCAUCCAGACACCAAAAUAAAAUCCUCCUGAGACCUUAGGGUUGCUGGGUAGAAGUGUCAGGAACUCAGGUUGGCAUCUUCUCUAAGUUCUACUUCAUUAGUGCCUAAUUAGACCCCGUCCUUCCUGUUUAGGUGCUUGAAAGAUGGAGUAGAUGCCACCGAGGUAAGCUCGCCUUCUGUGAUCUCUGCAUUCAGAUGGGGUCGGCCCCGUUACACUUCAUGUCCUGAAGAGAAGAUGCGCUUUUUCUCCAAUUUGCGUGAGAGGUAAUGGACCCCAUCCUACCAGAUGAGAAUAUUGUGACCAUAUUCCAACUAGGGAGAAUACCUGUUUGUCAGACGAGGGGAAAUUCAGCUGGAAAGCCGAGGGAGUGAAACAAAACCAGAGAAGAGUACAGCAACAAGCGUAUCAAGUGCCUGCUAGGUGCCAGAUGCGUAAAGUUCACAUCAAUGCUCAGUUGAAGCUCAGCAGAAUUCGAUGAUGCGGCUACUUAACCCCUUAUUAAAAACAGGCAGACUAGGGGGCCUGGCUGGCUCAGUUGAUAGUGUGUGCAGCUCUUGAUCUCAGGGUUGUAAAUCUGAGCCCCACAGUGGGUAUAGAUACUACUUUAAAAACUAAUAAAAUCUUUAAAAUAAAAAAUAAAGCCAAGCAGUCUAAAAUUUCACUGAAUGAAUAGAUAACAUUUGUAUUAGUCCUUGUGACACGCAAAGUAACAAAUGCCCCCUAACCUUGGUAACAACUACCAAAAAACAUUGUAAUAAUGUUUGUUAUCUUCGUUUCUGCAGGCCAGGAAUUAGCAGGCUGGUUCGAGCUAGGCAGUGGCGUUAAAGAUGUUGGCUUGGGGCUGUAGUCCUCUGAGGGCUUGACUGGGGCUGGAAGUCCCACUUCCAUGAUCGUUCACUCACAUCAUUGGCAAGCUGGUGUCAGGAGGCCUCAGUCCUUUGCUCUGUGGGUCUCUCCAGGAGGCUGCUUGAGUGUCCUUGUGACAUGGUGGCUGGCUUUCUCCCAGAACAAGUGAACCGAGAAAGAGCAAGGCUCAAGCCACAAUGCCUUUUAUUACCUAGCCUUGGAAGUCACACAAUGUCAUUUCUGCAAUAUGUUUAUGCAGCUCAGCCCUGUUAAACGUGGGAGGCCGCUGUACAAGAGCUGGAAUACUACGGAGGCUGCUGCCACAACAUUUUAUCUAUUUUCUGGUUAACAGAUGAUUUUUAACUUUUACAAAUAAUGCUGCGGUGAACAUUUCUGUAUACAGCUUCUUGCCCAAAUAUACAAGAUUCUACAGGCUUGUGUAUCGACAUGAAUAAAGCCAGCAAAUCUGUGGCCUUUGGGUUCUUAAGCUUCUCUCAAGGUUUCUGGAAGGCAUCUUAUAGAAGUUUGUUCCUUGGCCCCUCUUCACUCAGACCAGAUAUCCCCACAGUCCCAAUGCACAGCCUUCAUUAAGCCCAGGCUUACAUCUUGACCAGAGAAGAGAGCAGGAUCUCUCCCCCUGCUUCAGAGUUUGAAAAACCUCGGGGAAGAACUGCCACAGGCCCAAUAUGAUGACUGGCAGACACGGUCACUGAGAGAACCACUGUGAGCCAGACAGCAUCCCUGCUCCCUCGAAAGCCGGUCGCCCCCUAGGGAUUGUAAGUACAUAAGGGGCCAGUUCCGCAGCCAGCCUGGACCUUUGAAUCAGUUCAACUCACCCCCACCCCACAGCCCAGCUCUGGGCCAUCUGGGGCUUUGCCCGUGUUGGUUGCGGAGCUCUGCCUAGCGCACAACCUUCUUCCCCACACCCAGGCAGCCCCUGAACCUUCGCCCUCAUGACAGUGCACCUUUCGCCCGCCCUCCUGGCAGUCUGUCCUGGAUGUAGGUUUACCUCUACUCCAUGCGUUAUGGAUGCACCCAAAGCCCACAUCCCAGCAUCAACCCUCCCUGCACCCCAGGGCUGGCCUCCUACCGGUACCCCUAACAGAUUGUCAAAUAAUGCCAAUUAACUGUUUUCAUGAACUUUCUUCUUCUAACUUACAAUUUUGGCAAAAAAUGUUUUUCUGAGCCAUCUUUGACUCAUUUGCAGCUCCACGCCCCUUAUACUUAGGUGUGUAUUUUCUAGAAACAAGGAGAUUCCUUUCUGGUAACAGUACAAUAAUCAAAAUUUGAUGGAAUUUAAUGAGCUUUUAAUAAAACUUAAAAACAUUUAAAUAUCUCCUUUGCUACCUUAUCUUCCAAUAUAUUAUUUAUGUAUUCAUAUUUACAUGCACUGCAUUUUGCAUUAUGGCCCAGCCAAUUCUGGCUGUUGUGCUUGCAUUUCCCUUAAAUUUAAAGGGGGUCACUUUAGCGUUCCUGGGCCUGGACCUCUCGGGCACCAAUAAACCCUGACGGUUGAUGGCACAGAAUCAGUGGCAGUGUUGACAUCAGAGUCCAGGGUCUAGGCUCCCAGUUUAUUUCACUCUACACCAUAUGGGAGUAUACGCCAUUCAUUCAAUCAUUCAUUCCAUCCAACCUUCUCUUGAGCACUAGGUCUCAUGCGUGUGACAGCUAGGGGACACGGGUGAAUGUGCCUACUCUGCACAGGAGAGAGGUGCCUGAUGAAGCGUAGGGCCACAGUUGCAGACAACUGGGUGCGGCCAACAUUUGUUCCCCUCUGAGGGUCCAGUAAUGGCCAAGACCCUCAGGCUCCCUUCCCCACGCCCCAGGCUGCGCUGGGCCCAGCCCCGCGCUGGGACUUUUGCUUGCUGCCAGGAGAGACCUGAAUCCCGCCGCCACCGUCGGAGGCGGGGUGGAGGGGGUGCUGGGUUUGCGGUUCGGGGUAUUAGAGCAGCCACUGGUGGUGGCCCCAGGUCUGACUCGAGCGAGCCGGCGAAGGCGGGCUCCCCCGCGCCCCCUGGCGGCCGUGAACGCCUGCGCGGGCCCAGGCUCCCACGCGAGUCGCCCAGAGCCUCCACUCUCCGUGCGCGGCCAGCCCCGUGCCUCCUGGCAUCUGUCUCUCGGGGUCAAGAGGGGAUUGGGAUCUGUGGGGACAGACCCUGCUUUACUCCUACGGGCCACCAUUCGAGCGUCAGCGGCGGGCGGCGGCCCUUGGGACAGAAGGGGGCAGCAUCUCCACGCAGGCUGGGACCCGCGCCGGAAGGUGGCUUUUCUAGAUUCCCCACCACUCAACAGCCGGGUUUUAUUUUGUUUCGGAAAUACUUCAGGACCUUCUGUUACUUUUAUUUAUUUAGGGAAGAGUUUUAAGAAUGUUACAAAAGUAGCUUAGGCUCUUGGAACAGACCAAGCAACCAAAGAUAAAGACAGUAUUAAUGGUGUAGCCAUUCCUCAAAAAGUUAAACAUAGAAUUACUACAUGACCCAGCUCUGAGUCAUAUAACCUAGAAGACUUCCACUUCUGGGCAUAUACUCAAAAGAAGUGAAAGCAAGUUUCAAGCAGAUACUUGCACACGCACGUUUACAGCAGCGCUCUCCACAAUAACCAAAGGUGGACUCCUCCGUGGACACUCGCAUGGAUAUACCAAAUGUGGAAUAUACCACAGUGGACUAUUUGUCCAGCCUUAAAAAGAGAGAAAAUUUGGACACAUGCUACAACACGAAUGGAUGACCUUUGAGGACAUUAUGCUCUGUGAAAAAAGCCAGACACCAGACACAAAAAGACAAAUGUUGCAUGAUUCCACUUAUAUGAGCUAUCCAGAAUGGGCAACUUCAUUGGGACAGAAAUUAGACUAGAGGCUACUAGGUUCUGGGUGGGGGCACCGGAGAGUUAUUGCUUAAUGGGUACAGAGUUUCUCUUUGGAGUGUUGAAAUUUCUUGAAAAUAGUGGUGAUGGCCGCAGAGUAUUGUGAGUGUAAUUUGUGUCACUGAAGGCUACAACUUUGAGUUUACCUCUCUUCGUCCCGAGGCCAGGGGCAGUGGAGGAACUUAACAGGAGCCUGGAGUCAUGUAAAUGGAAGGGGCAGGAUUUGAGCAAGAUCAGUGUGGGCAGCCUCCCUCCAAGAGGCCAGCAGCUGUAGUGAAGUGCUUCUCAGGGCCUCACACCUCCCUUGGAGUGCCAUUUGCGGUUCUGUCACUAAAGAGAAAGGACCCCCUGAAAGUGAGAGGAGGAAGAGGUAGGAGACCGAUUAUCUCGUGGCUGAACCUUCUGUCAACGUUUUCAGAAAGAGCAGGGCGCUGUUCAUUCCCAGGAAGGUGGUGAGGCCAGCACAGUACAAGACACGACAGGAUGAACUUCUGGAGCUCUGGCAGAACCAGUCUCACAUUCCCGGGGUGGAGAACGGAGACCAUCAUCCGUACCUCGCAGCGUCCUUGUGAAGGUAAAACGAGACUGCGUCUAUCAAGUGCCUGGCAAAGCAUCUAGGAUACAGUAGGUGCUUAAUAAAUAUCAGUGUAGCAGGAUGCUAGCUGAAAGAUUGCAAAGUUCUGGUUUCUUUUUUUUUUUUUUUUUAAUUUUUUUUCAACGUUUUUUAUUUAUUUUUGGGACAGAGAGAGACAGAGCAUGAACGGGGGAGGGGCAGAGAGAGAGGGAGACACAGAAUCGGAAACAGGCUCCAGGCUCUGAGCCAUCAGCCCAGAGCCCGACGCGGGGCUCGAACUCACGGACCGCGAGAUCGUGACCUGGCUGAAGUCGGACACUUAACCGACUGCGCCACCCAGGCGCCCCGCGAAGUUCUGGUUUCUUAGUUUUGUGGGUGUUUUAUUUAAGUCAUUCUGUUCUUCCUUGAGAGUGGAGGCCAAGUGGGCUUAUGGCUGAUUAGGAGACGAGGAACGGUGUUUUUUCUCCUUCCAGGAAGAGAACUUUACUAUUCUUAAGAUCUUGACCUCCUUUACAUCCAGAAAACCUUUGUAGUUUUAAGGCUGAUGGCCUGUCAUGGCACAAAGAAGCAGAAUGGAUGUGUUCCAUUUUGGAGGCUUGAAAAGGGCCCAGUGGCCUGAGCCUGCCAGUUAGCCCCCAGGGGCUGGGAAUAACAAGCGGAGUGACAUUGAAAGUAAAUUGUUCUACUUAAAGUGUUGAAUCUUAACACAUCUUUUCCUGUGGCUCCAGAACUCUCUUUUUCUAUCAGGCUUUGUGGCUUUUAUACAAGAACCAGAAUUGAGGGCCAGGCCACACCCUGGACAGUCCUGGCCAUGUACUAGCCACUGACCCAUAAGUGACGGGAAUUAUCUGUGGAUUGUCUUUUUCGGGGAGAUGGGGUGUGACUACAGUUCUGAUCAAUGAUGCUGGUGACACUUAUCUUUAUCCAAAGAGACACAUUAGAAACUUAGUGCUGUGUGGCUCCAAAGGGAUCCCAAUCUUUCUGGGAGAAAUGGCUAAGUCAAUGAUAAUAUAAGCAGAGAAUGUAACAUUUUGCUCUAUGAAAAAUCCUACUUUCGAAGCUUUCUUAUUGACAUGGGAAAAUGUUAACGUCACAUCCAUUCUGAUAAUCCACACCGGUGCCUCUGCGGCAGAACACCAGCUGAUGAGAGAGGAACAGAAGCACAAACAGGCCACGCCCGAAUCUUCUGGAAAUUACUCUUUGGCUGGUUUCCAUCCCAUAGCUAAUUGGUGUGCUUUUCAGACCUUGUGAACCAGAAGCGAUGGCCCCAGGAUCACGAACUUCGCAAUUGGAAGCUCAGCCUGUCUUGGCACAGGGGGAGAGCCUUUGCUCCGCAAACCGUGGGUGAUCACUCCUACUGGGAAGUCCAGGGUCAGCAGUCUGGGGUCAGGGUUCCAGGUUGGGCUCAGUGAUCAGGGCUUCAGGGCGUAGGACCCUCGUGCUUCCUGUACAGGCUGGGGGCAGGGGCCCUGCCUUCCUGCCUCCUCACGCCAAGUCCUAAGGUCAUGCCCAGGUCUCUGGACCCCUGCCCUGUAUCUGGUAAGGAACUUGUUUCUAGAAUAUGUAAAGAACUCCUACAACUUAAUAAUAAAAGGACAACCCAAUUUAAAAAAUGGGCAAAAUAUCUUAGUAGAUACUUGUCCAAAGAAGAUAUACAAAUAUAUAAGCACAGGAAAAGAUGUUCACCAUCACGAGCCAUUGUGGGAAUGCAAAUCAAAACCACAACCAGAUACUAAUUCACACAGUAGGAUGUUGAUUAUUAAAAAUCCAGAUAAGGAGGGGCACCUGGGUGGCUCAGGUGGUUAAGUGUCCGACUUCAGCUCAGGUCAUGAUCUCAUGGUUCCUGAGUUCAAGCCCUGCGUCGGG